rnacentral:lncRNA from 1 species
UGUCCUUUGGUAAAAGCAGAUCAUAGAGGAAGAACAGGGGUUAGUUUUGGUCCAUCUAAUAACGUAAACUGAAGUGGAGAAAGGGACUCGUGUAGCUUCUCAUUUAAUUCUUUGUUUUGGAUGUGGAGCAAGUUUGAGACCCCACACGUCUCCCUCCUAGUAUAUGGUGUUAGAUUCUUCCCCUCUCAGAGUCCACCUCCUUGCUCUUCGG